GACCCGACCAAAGCCCAUGGUGUCUCUGGCCUGAGGACAAGGUGUCUUGGAACCAUAAGGCCAGGCCACAGUGGCCAUUGGGUCAUAGGGGCUCAGCCCCAAUAUUUGUCCUUCCCUGGCUCCUUCUGGUUCGGUCCCAUCAGGGCCCUGGAUCCCAAGACUCAGCAUCCAAGGUCCCCUCCAGGAAUCCUGGCAGCUCGGCAUACUUUAUCCUGUUUCAUCUGAGAGCAAAAAUGUAAAAUUGGAUGCACAGAAAAAUGACUCAAAGUGCUUAAUGACUAGAAGAAAUCUAGGAGCAGCAAGAAGGUAAUGUGGAGGGAGGGACCUCCAUGACAGAUGUCUGCAGAGCCAGGGGUACAGGCACCCAGUGCUGUGGCCUGGCACCACCUGCAUCUCAGAGAGUGGGUGGCACACUCCUUACCCAGAGGACAGCAGGCCUGGUCACCAGCUUUUCUACCUGUCCCUGUAAGCAUCACAUUGCUGGAGGAAAAUCUCAUGCCAGAGCUUGGACCAUCCCUAGCUCAGGGAUUAGGGGUUGUCCCUUGGUGACCUAAAUGAAAAAACAGGUCCAGAACAGAGUUCCUGAUGCUGGACACUCAUUCAGUCUUUGAAUCGUGGGAGGGGAGGCCUGGUACUAGGUAGACCUAACCUCUUUGAGGAACCACAGAGCCCAAGGCCGGAAACCUCCAGAAUCCUCCACCCCCUGAUCCUCCCUGGGGACCCCUGUGGCCUGUCUCACUGAGCACUCUUCCAUCUGUAGAUGUCUGGGCUGCUGUACAAGGGAGUCCCUUUUCAGGUGUGGUGCUAGACAUGGUCACUCCUGCUGGAUGUCUAGAUGGUAGAAACCAAGGACCUAGGGAAAUAGGUACAGCCUUUCCACGCUCAUCCAGAGCAGGACAAACAGGCCAGGCGGUGUCAGGAGCCCAGGUCUCCAGCUGGAGGGAACGUCAACCCUGCGGUGGGAGCAGGAGCCCUUUGCACAUCCUAGGCACAGAUGGUAAUGUAGACACCACAGGUAAGCUGGGCUUGGUACCUACCCCUCCCCGAUUCAGAAAGAAACCAAACAAGGAGCUUUGUGUGGAAUGAAACCUCCUUUCCUCCCAGAAGCACUGCUGACUGUUUGGUGGUUGCCAUUUGUGGCAGUGAGCCUUUGUUUGUUCUGAGGUUGGGCUGGUUUCUCCUCUUGGCCCUGCCCUACAGAUCAUAAAGGAGAAUAGCAAGAGGUCCCCAGCAAACAUCCACAGAUGGCCUUGGAAAUAAGUCACCUUGUGAGAAACAUGUCAUGUUCUGGGAGGGAUAAGGCAUCAAGUAAGGCCUAUGGGGUUGGAGGAUCCCUGGGCAGGUGGGGCAAUCCUUGGAGUCUUCCCAUGGGAAUAGGGAGGUCCUGGGGCAGAGGCAGGGGUUCCACAGGAGUCACAGAGCUACCAAGGGCUCUCCUGUGCCAGGAAGCAGUCAACACCAUGGACUGAACACCUGCUGGGCUCCAAGCCCUGGUCCAGGUUGGGGCAUGUGGGGCCAGGAGGCAGCUCAGAGAGGGAGGCAGAGAGAAGUGUGCUGAGAGGGCACCCAUUUCUGGGUGUAAUGUGGUCCAGAGAUUUUGGCUGGGAAGGGUUUCCAGAGUUUCAUAUGUGUUAUGGAGCUGCUUCCUUUCCCUAGCCUCACCCUGCAGGAAUGCCAGUGAACAUAUUGCUGACAUCUUGGAGCUCAGUACCCUCAUAGUGUAACGGCGUCAGCAGAUCUGCCUGUGCUUGGACUUCCUGUACUACCCAUUCCUGAGGGGCGAUGCUUCUGCAGGGCCUGUGACUUGGUGCACAACUUCAGACACCAUCAUCUUGCAGCAGCACCGCACCCUCACUAGCCAGGGUGUUGAUGACUUCCUCAAGGCCAAGGCCUCAUUCAAGGCUUCAGACUUCAUUGAUGCACUUGUGCUGAGCAAGGUGGCUUCUCUGGGAUCUUAAUUCAGGAGGUAGAAUGGAACGUGAGAUCAAGUGUCUGAUCAAGCCUCAGUGUAUGGGCGCUGUUCAUCCUCUGGUGCUGAAGCAGCCAAGAGACACAAGUCUGCCUGGCUGCCUCUUAGGAUAUGACAGCAGAGCCAGUGGCCUCUACUAGAUCCUGUACAACCUCACAAAACACCCAGAUGUUGGGAGUGCUGCCAGCCUGUGAUGGAAGAGUCCUAAUCCUGAAGACAUUGAAUGACCUGUUGUGCUGUUUUUACCAAAAAGGAUGAUGAGGAUCAGAGAGGAAAAGUCACUUGCCCAAAGUCACACAGCUGAACAGUGGUGGAGUUCAACUUUGACUGUGGGCUGUCUGGCCCCAAGAUGUAUGCUUGUUUCUCUCCCAAGAGGCUCCUUUCUUAUCAGGCUCAAAUGAAUGAAAGGAGGAUGUUAAAGGUAGGAUCUCUGAAGCCUGUGCCAGUGGAACCCCAGCUCAUGGCUGGCACCUGUGUUCUCAUUCUUACCUCAUUAAGAGUAAAGUUUAUUGAGUUUAUUGAA